rnacentral:rRNA from 1 species
GGUCAAAGGUUAUAGUAUCUUAGUGGCGGACGGGUGAGUAACGCGUGGGCAACCUGCCGUAUACAGGGGGAUAACAACUGGAAACAGUUGCUAAAACCGCAUAAGCGCACACUGUUGCAUGACAGAGUGUGAAAAUUUCCGGAGGUAUACGAUGGACCCGCGUCUGAUUAGCCAGUUGGCAGGGUAACGGCCUACCAAAGCGACGAUCAGUAGCCGGCCUGAGAGGGUGGACGGCCACAUUGGGACUGAGACACGGCCCAAACUCCUACGGGAGGCAGCAGUGGGGGAUAUUGCACAAUGGGGGAAACCCUGAUGCAGCGACGCCGCGUGAGUGAAGAAGCAUUUCGGUGUGUAAAGCUCUAUCAGCAGGGAAGAAGAAAUGACGGUACCUGACUAAGAAGCCCCGGCUAACUACGUGCCAGCAGCCGCGGUAAUACGUAGGGGGCAAGCGUUAUCCGGAUUUACUGGGUGUAAAGGGAGCGUAGACGGCAAUGCAAGUCCGAUGUGAAAACCCAGGGCUCAACCGUGGGAGUGCAUUGGAAACUGAAUGGCUGGAGUGCAGGAGAGGUAAGCGGAAUUCCUGGUGUAGCGGUGAAAUGCGUAGAUAUCAGGAGGAACACCAGUGGCGAAGGCGGCUUACUGGACUGUAACUGACGUUGAGGCUCGAAAGCGUGGGGAGCAAACAGGAUUAGAUACCCU